UAUGAUGUUAGCACAAGGGUGAAAUCACCUA
rnacentral:piRNA from 1 species